GUGCUCUCUUUGGCACUGCAUGUACUAAAAUUGGAACAACACAAGAAGAUUAGCAUGGCCCCUGUACAAGGAUGCCACGCAAUGUCAUGCAGCGUUUGAUAUUUUU
ensembl:snRNA U6 U6 spliceosomal RNA